CACGUAGGGGGCAAGCGUUGUCCGGAUUUAUUGGGCGUAAAGAGCUCGUAGGCGGCUUAGUAAGUCGGGUGUGAAACCUCCAGGCUCAACCUGGAGACGCCACCCGAUACUGCUGUGGCUAGAGUCCGGUAGGGGAGCGUGGAAUUCCUGGUGUAGCGGUGAAAUGCGCAGAUAUCAGGAGGAACACCGGUGGCGAAGGCGGGUCUCUGGGCAGUAACUGACGCUGAGACGCGAAAGCGUGGGGAGCAAACAGG
rnacentral:rRNA from 1 species